rnacentral:lncRNA from 1 species
AUUGCAGGUCAGCUGGCUGAACCUCAUUGUGACCUGGGAGCCCUGCAUGAUGAAGGGAUGAUGGGUGAGCUACCAAGGCUAACAUUUUCCCGAGGACAUUGAGUUAGGGAAGUGGCCUCUCCUUGAGGGAAGGAGCCAGAUGACUUCUCAGAGAACAACAACCAUAUUCAAAAUAUUCUCAAGUUUCUUUUGUUUCUUCUUGUCUGCAUCUGAUAUCCAGGACAUUAUUCCACAGGAAAAGGUUAACAGGAAAUCAAGAUCGGCCCGCUCCUACAGCAAAAGAAGUACUAAGAGGAAAGUUUAUAGUGAUAAGCACCUACAUAACAAAAAACUUCAAAUAAACAACCUAAUGAGGCAUCUUAAGGAAUGAGAAAAGAGCAAACUGAAUACAAAAUUAGUAGAAGAAAAGAAAUAAUAAAGUUCACAGCAAAAAUAAAUGAAGAAAACAAUACAAAAGAUCAAUAAAAUAAAAAUUUGUUUUUUUGAACAGAUGAACAACAUUGACAAACCUUCAGGCAGACUAAGAAAAAAAAGAGCAAAAAACCCAAAUAAAUAAAAUUAGAGAUGAAAGAGGAGACAUUGCAGCUGAUUUCACAGAAAUUCAAAGUAUCAUUACAGGCUGCUAUGAACAACUAUAUGCCAAUAAAUGGGAAAACCUGGAAGAAAUGGAUAAAUUUCUAGAAAAAUACAACCUACCAAGAUUGAACCAUGAAGAAAUCCAAAACCUGAACAGAUCAAUAACAAGUAAUAAGAUCGAAGCUGUAAUAAAAAGUCUCCCAGAAAAGCAAAGCCUAGGAUUCAAUGGCAUCACUGCUGAAUUUUAUCAGACAUUAAAAAAGAGCUAAACCCUAUUCAAAUUAUUCCAAAAAACUUAUUCUACAAGGCGAGUAUUACACUAAUACCAAAACCAGACAAAGAUGCAUAAAAAAAGAAAACAAUAUGCCAAUAUCCCUUAUGAACAUUGAUGCAAAAAUCCUCAACAAAAUACUAGUAAACCAAAUUUAACAGUACAAUAAAAUGAUCAUUCAUCAUGACCAAGUUGGAUUUAUCCCUGGGAUGUAAGAAUGGCUCAACAUAUGCAAAUCAAUCAAUGUCAUACGUCAUAGCAAUGAAGGACAAAAACCAUAUGAUCAUUUCAAUUGAUGCUGAACAAGCACUUAACAAAAUUCAACAUUUAUUCAUGAUAAAACCCUAAAAAAAUUGGAUCUAGAAGGAACAUACCUUAGCACAAUAAAAGCCAUUUACAACAGACUCAUAGCUAGUAUAAUACUGAAUGAGGAAAAACUAAAAGCUUUUCCUUUAAGAUCGAGAACAUGACAAGGAUGCCCACUUUCACCACUGUUAUUUAAUGUAGUACUGGAAGUCCUAGCUGGACCAACCAGACAAGAGCAAGAAAUAAAGGAAAUCCAAAUUGGAAAGGAAGAAGUCAAAUUAUCUUUGUUUGCAGAUGCUAUGAUCUUAUAUUUGGAAAAGCCUAGAGAUUCCACAAGAGAACUAUUAGAACUGAUAGACAAAUUCAGUAAAUUUGAAGGAUACAAAAUCAACAUACGAAAAUCAGUAGCAUUUCCAUAUGACAACAGUGAAUCUGAAAAAGAAAUCAGGAAAUUAAUCAUAUUUACAAUAGCCAAAAACAAAAUAAAAUACCUAAAAAUUAACCAAAGAAGUC